UAUCUCUGUAGAGUCUGCAUAUCAAUAAGCGGAGGAAAAGAAACUAACUAGGAUUCCCUCAGUAACGGCGAGUGAAGCGGGAAGAGCUCAAAUUUGAAAUCUUCAAGGUUUUACCUUGACGAAUUGUAGUUUAAAGAAGUGUUUUCUGUUGGAGUUUUGGUAAAAGUUCUUUGGAAUAGGACAUCAUAGAGGGUGAGAAUCCCGUAUUUGACCAUUAUUUCCAGCUUUGUGAUACACUUUCAAAGAGUCGGAUUGUUUGGGAAUGCAGUCCAAAAUGGGUGGUAAAUUUCAUCUAAAGCUAAAUACUGGCGAGAGACCGAUAGCGAACAAGUACCGUGAGGGAAAGAUGAAAAGAACUUUGAAAAGAGAGUUAAACAGUACGUGAAAUUGUCAAAAGGGAGGCGUUUGACACCAGUGUUGUUUUCUCGAAAAUCAAUUAAAAAUGGUGGGAUUUUGUGUUGUAUUGACUUUAUCAGCUUUCUGCACUCUUUUCCUGUCUUUUUUAAUGCACUUUUCGUUUAACAAGUCAACAUCAAUUUCUUUUGUUGUAAAAGGAGUCAUUGGAAGGUGGCUUUCUUUUCGGAGAAAGUGUUUAUAGCCUUUGGCUUCUGCAAUCGGAGAGAUUGAGGUCUGCAGCGUAGAUCCUUCGGGGUUAGAUACAUUUGUGCUAAGUUAUAGCCUUUCAUAGACAACUUGUUGACUAUGAUCAGUCAUGUAGCUUACUCGCUUAUGCUAUUUUACCUACGCUUAGGAUGUUGAGUCAUCACACAUCUCU
rnacentral:rRNA from 1 species